GUCAGCCUUUGGCCUAUAGUUGCACUGCGAGUACAUUGUAAUUGAAAUUUCUAAUUUCCGCUAUAACAUUGCAAUAAGAACCAUUAUUUGGCGCGGGAAGAAACCCUGUGCUGAUGGUAGUGCUGAUAAAUUACACGACUGUAUAGAAACUUAGAACCUAAGUAGAAAAGUAUUCAUUGUUAUGAGUAUCAGAUUUGAAAUUGCUUCGGAGAAAGAAAAGAAGCUUACACUUCUAUGAGAAGAUAAAUGCAAUUAAAAUGAAGUCCUCUUAAACCCAAACUGCCAUGUUGGAGUUCUUCAUGACUACAUAAAAACUAUGAUACAAGAUUCACCAAAUGUUGAUCUUUCAGCUGACUAUGAAAUAGACUUGUGCGAUGCCAGUGGGGCCUUGCUGUCUCUCUACGAGCGACCGCCAGCAACAAACGGCAUUGAAACAGAACUGUUCACACCCCGAGCCAGCUACACUGUGGUGUUCCUUGAAAGAAAAGAAGAUGGAACCUUAGGCAAACCAACACCCUUGAUACCAUUAAGCACUUCCAAAAAUUCUCUUUUAUCCAAGUUACGAACAAACUUGCAGGCAGGAUCAAGGAAGAGUGACAAGUUUGAUAAAACGCGCAAGAGAAGCAAGAGCAUCGCCAGCAAGACGAGCGCAAACACAAACAGACUUCGGAAGGACGGCACAGGAGUGGGUUUACAAGGGAAAACAUAACCAUAUCAACAGCUACAACUCAUUAUAUAAUACACAAGCAAAUAAAACUCCACAAAAUUUA